rnacentral:rRNA from 1 species
AACGAACGCUGGCGGCAGGCCUAACACAUGCAAGUCGAGCGGCAGCGGGAAAGUAGCUUGCUACUUUUGCCGGCGAGCGGCGGACGGGUGAGUAAUGCCUGGGAAAUUGCCCAGUCGAGGGGGAUAACAGUUGGAAACGACUGCUAAUACCGCAUACGCCCUACGGGGGAAAGCAGGGGACCUUCGGGCCUUGCGCGAUUGGAUAUGCCAAGGUGGGAUUAGCUAGUUGGUGAGGUAAUGGCUCACCAAGGCGACGAUCCCUAGCUGGUCUGAGAGGAUGAUCAGCCACACUGGAACUGAGACACGGUCCAGACUCCUACGGGAGGCAGCAGUGGGGAAUAUUGCACAAUGGGGGAAACCCUGAUGCAGCCAUGCCGCGUGUGUGAAGAAGGCCUUCGGGUUGUAAAGCACUUUCAGCGAGGAGGAAAGGUCAGUAGCUAAUACCUGCUGGCUGUGACGUUACUCGCAGAAGAAGCACCGGCUAACUCCGUGCCAGCAGCCGCCGUAAGAC